rnacentral:sRNA from 1 species
AGGCUGACUCUGUCCCAGCGAGCUCUGGCCAACAUCCACUCCCAGCUGCUGGGCCUGGAGCGAGAAGCUGUGCCUCAGUUCCCUUCAGCGCAGAAGCCUCUGCUGUCCUUGGAGGAGACUCUGAAUGUGACAGAAGGAAAUUUCCACCAGUUGGUGGCACUGCUACACUGCCGCGGCCUGCACAAGGACUAUGGUGCAGCCCUGCGGGGCCUGUGCGAAGACGCCCUGGAAGGCCUGCUCUUCCUGCUGCUCUUCUCCCUGCUGUCCGCAGGAGCGCUGGCCACUGCCCUCUGCAGCCUGCCCCGAGCCUGGGCCCUCUUCCCACCCAGUGACGACUACGAUGACACAGAUGAUGACGACCCUUUCAACCCUCAGGAAUCCAAGCGCUUUGUGCAGUGGCAGUCGUCUAUCUGAGCCCCUCCUCCCGGCUGGACUGGAGCCUGGCUCCCCUCUUCGGUGAGCUUCCAAGGGCCACCCCAGCUCCUGCAGCCGGGCCUCUGCCCCCCUCCCGCCCUCCGAGCUGCUCCAGGCAUGGGCUGCGUGCCUCCUGCUGGGUGGAUCGCACCGGGCAGGCCCUCCAGCCUGCAUCACUGCCCUGUCUCUCCCUCUCUCCGCAGUUCCUUCCCUGGCUGCCGGAGGAGACCCCACUAAUCCAGCCUGCCUGGGCUCUGACCACUAACACUCUUGGCCAUGGACAGCCUGCACAGGACCGCCUCCCUGCUCUUGGCCACUGUGCUCCCAUUUCUGUCCUUGGCCU